rnacentral:rRNA from 1 species
AUUGAACGCUGGCGGCAGGCCUAACACAUGCAAGUCGAACGAGUGGCGGACGGGUGAGUAAUGUCGGGGAAACUGCCUGAUGGAGGGGGAUAACUAGUGGAAACGGGAGCUAAUACCGCAAACCAUCGACUGGGCAGAGAUGGGAUUAGCUAGUAGGUGGGGUAAAGGCUCACCUAGGCGACGAUCCCUAGCUGGUCUGAGAGGAUGACCAGCCACACUGGAACUGAGACACGGUCCAGACUCCUACGGGAGGCAGCAGUGGUGAAUAUUGCACAAUUGGCGCAAGCCUGAUGCAGCCAUGCCGCGUGUAUGAAGAAGGCCUUCGGGUUGUAAAGUACUUUCAGCUGGGAGGCGUUACCCGCAGAAGAAGCACCGGCUAACUCCGUGCCAGCAGCCGCGGUAAUUC